rnacentral:rRNA from 1 species
AAUGAACGCUAGCGGCAGGCUUAAUACAUGCAAGUCGAGGGGUAGCAAGAUUGUAGCAAUACAAUUGUUGACGACCGGCAAACGGGUGCGGAACACGUACACAACCUUCCUACAAGUGGGGAAUAGCCCAGAGAAAUUUGGAUUAAUACCCCGUAACAUAGCGAUGUGGCAUCACAUUGCUAUUAUAGCUUCGGCGCUUGUUGAUGGGUGUGCGGCUGAUUAGAUAGUUGGUGGGGUAACGGCACACCAAGUCUAGGAUCAGUAGCUGAUGUGAGAGCAUGAUCAGCCACACGGGCACUGAGACACGGGCCCGACUCCUACGGGAGGCAGCAGUAAGGAAUAUUGGACAAUGGACGCAAGUCUGAUCCAGCCAUGCCGCGUGAAGGAUUAAGGUCCUCUGGAUUGUAAACUUCUUUUAUAAGGGACGAAAAAAGGUCUUUCUAGAUCGUCUGACGGUACCUUAUGAAUAAGCACCGGCUAACUCCGUGCCAGCAGCCGCGGUAAAAC